CACCCGUUCCCAUGCCGAACACGGAAGUUAAGCUCUUCAGCGCCGAUGGUAGUCGGGGGUUUCCCCCUGUGAGAGUAGGACGCCGCCAAGC
rnacentral:rRNA from 2 species